rnacentral:rRNA from 1 species
GAUUCAUGAUAACUUAACGAAUCGCAUGGCCUUGCGCCGGCGAUGGUUCAUUCAAAUUUCUGCCCUAUCAACUUUCGAUGGUAGGAUAGUGGCCUACCAUGGUAUCAACGGGUAACGGGGAAUUAGGGUUCUAUUCCGGAGAGGGAGCCUGAGAAACGGCUACCACAUCCAAGGAAGGCAGCAGGCGCGCAAAUUACCCAAUCCCGACACGGGGAGGUAGUGACAAUAAAUACUGAUACAGGGCUCUUUUGGGUCUUGUAAUUGGAAUGAGUACAAUUUAAAUACCUUAACGAGGAACAAUUGGAGGGCAAGUCUGGUGCCAGCAGCCGCGGUAAUUCCAGCUCCAAUAGCGUAUAUUAAAGUUGUUGCAGUUAAAAAGCUCGUAGUUGAACCUUGGGCCUGGCUGGCCGGUCCGCCUCACCGCGUGUACUGGUCCGGCCGGGCCUUUCCUUCUGGGGAUCCGCAUGCCCUUCACUGGGUGUGUCGGGGAACCAGGACUUUUACUUUGAAAAAAUUAGAGUGUUCAAAGCAGGCCUUUGCUCGAAUACAUUAGCAUGGAAUAAUAGAAUAGGACGUGCGGUCCUAUUUUGUUGGUUUCUAGGACCGCCGUAAUGAUUAAUAGGGAUAGUCGGGGGCAUCAGUAUUCAAUUGUCAGAGGUGAAAUUCUUGGAUUUAUUGAAGACUAACUACUGCGAAAGCAUUUGCCAAGGAUGUUUUCAUUAAUCAGUGAACGAAAGUUAGGGGAUCGAAGACGAUCAGAUACCGUCGUAGUCUUAACCGUAAACUAUGCCGACUAGGGAUCGGGCGAUGUUAUUCUUUUGACGCGCUCGGCACCUUACGAGAAAUCAAAGUC